rnacentral:rRNA from 1 species
GACGAAGGAUGCAAGCGUUAUCCGGAUUCAUUGGGUUUAAAGGGGGCGUAGGUGGUCUUAUAAGUCAGUGGUGAAAUCUCUGGGCUUAACCCAGAAAUUGCCAUUGAUACUGUAGGACUUGAGUAUAGUUGCCGUUGGCGGAAUAUGACAUGUAGUGGUGAAAUACAUAGAGAUGUCAUAGAACACCGAUUGCGAAGGCAGCUAACGAAACUAUAACUGACACUGAGGCUCGAAAGUGCGGGGAUCAAACAGG